GUAGGUGGCAAGCGUUGUCCGGGAAUUAUUGGGGCGUAAAGCGCGCGCAGGCGGUUCUUUAAGUCUGAUGUGAAAGCCCACGGGCUCAACCGUGGAGGGUCACUGGAAACUGGAGAACUUGAGUACAGAAGAGGAAAGCGGAAUUCCACGUGUAGCGGUGAAAUGCGUAGAGAUGUGGAGGAACACCAGUGGCGAAGGCGGCUUUCUGGUCUGUAACUGACGCUGAGGCGCGAAAGCGUGGGGAGCAAACAGGAUUAGAUACCCUGGUAGUCCACGCCGUAAACGAUGAGUGCUAAGUGUUAGGGGGUUUCCGCCCCUUAGCGCUGCAGCUAACGCAUUAAGCACUCCGCCUGGGGAGUACGGCCGCAAAGGCUGA
rnacentral:rRNA from 1 species